rnacentral:misc_RNA from 1 species
AACUUCUUAUUUUUCUAUUUUUCAUAAAUUUUUUAUGAUGAUGUUCUUAUUGUUUUUAAAUCUAUUUUAACUUUAUUUCUCUAUUUUUCAUAAAUCCUUUUAUGAUGAUGUUCUUAUUGUCUUGUUUGACAAGGGGAAGAGGUACCUCUGGUCUUGUUUGUAGUUUUUUGUCUUUAUGUAUACUUAUUAUCUCUGCUGGUUAUCAACUAGGAUUCAUAAUUCCAAAUGUUUACUUGAGGCUGUGGAAUAUUUUAAAAGGGAAUAUGAUAUUUAGAUGAACUACUUAUGAGCAGAAGAACUAUCACUUUUGCAACAGAACCUAUGAGUUGGCUUCCUUGAG